UACGAGGGGUGCAAGCGUUAUCCGGAAUUAUUGGGCGUAAAGAGCUCGUAGGCGGUUUGGCGCGUCUGCCGUGAAAGUCCGGGGCUCAACUCCGGAUCUGCGGUGGGUACGGGCAGACUAGAGUGAUGUAGGGGAGACUGGAAUUCCUGGUGUAGCGGUGAAAUGCGCAGAUAUCAGGAGGAACACCGAUGGCGAAGGCAGGUCUCUGGGCAUUAACUGACGCUGAGGAGCGAAAGCAUGGGGAGCGAACAGG
rnacentral:rRNA from 1 species